UUGGAUGCACACACAGUUGCUGAACCACUUUACACCCUGUGACAAUUCUCUGUGCAUGUUGUGACUAACUUUGUUUUCGUUAUGUCAAAGCAGGUCCUCUGGUCUGGAUAUCAUAUUUGUUGGUAUCCCACACAUGCUGGGACCAAGUGAGGCUCGUGCAAUUAAACAAAACAAAGGAAGAAUAGCAGACCACAUUUUUGGCCUUUGAUGAACUGUUUAUUUAACCUGAUCUUUGAUGUUUGUUAUCAAUUGUACUAUGGAGAGAAGUAAAAGUGCAGAUCAUCAAAAUGUCCUUUCUUCCGACUGUUUACUCAUAUCUAACAUUGCGAGAUCCCUCAACUUUUCUUUGUUUAUUUUUGAGACCCACUUCAGAGGCCCUUGUUUUUUUUAGUAAGAUAAACUAUUGCAUGAUAACGUUUUGUGCACCCUCUAAUUUAAUGAGAUAGGAACCUUACAAAUCAUAAUAUUUCCUGUGGAAGAUUCUGAGAGACUAUAUCCUGUGACAAUGAAAUGUUUCUAACUUAAAAUUGGUACCCUCUCCAUGAUUAAUUUAUUCUUAUUUGAUUAUUAGUUUGUUGAUGCAAAUGAAAUAUGACUCUUAGUGUUGUCCAUUUGAUUUACAAAAGAUACCAAAGCCAAUUCUAAGUUGGUUAUCCAAUUGUAUCUUGACAAUGGGUUUGGAAACCUAAAAUUCUCUUCGGUUUCAACAUGGGUUCCUGCAAGGCUGCAAUUGAAACAAUGUACAAAACUUUGUGUAAUGGUGCAUGCAAGGACCCAAUCCAAAAUUCAAACAUCAAUGAUUGACAAGAGAAAUUAUGAUUUAACCUUUCUAUUUCUCAACAACAACAGUCCAAUUAGACCAAAAAUGCUCCUCAAACAAUGCACAGUCAUCACAGUGAAAGUAAGGUUGUGGCUAGUGAAUUUUAGUCCUAAUAAUCAUUCUUUCUUCUAGUAGAAAGUAGCACCAUUGUUAUCAAGGAGUUCAAGUUUUGUUCUGCAAAACAAUUUGGGAGAGCUGAAAUGUCUGAAUAAUCUAAUAUAGUUUUUUUACAGAUUUUGGCCAUGAUGGAAUGGACAGAUAAUCUAGAAUCUAUAUUUGGCGAAUCUGAAGGCCUGCUGAUUGAAAAUUUGUGAUCCAACUGCCCAUCAUAACAAGCUACUAGCUGUAGAGCUAGGCUUUGUGUAUAGUCUUAUCAUUGGAGAAAGAGAAAGGGCAGGAAAACGAUAGUGAACAGGAAGGUUCUCAAAGCUUAAGAGGCACUAACUUUUCCACUAAAGAAAUGUAGCUCACUGAAUGAGCCUUUAGAAAGACAAAGGUAUCAUGGCAACAGCAAUACUUCUAACAAGAAGUCUCCCAUUGCCUACAGCUAAAUCUCCCAACCAAACCCUUUUUUUACCCCAAUGUUCCUAAAGCUUAAAAAUAAUUAUUCUUUUGAUCUGAUUUCAAGUGCUUUAAUGGGAGAUAUGGACUUUAACAAGGCUUGCUUACCAUUUCCAAAGAAUGGUUUGGCAGCAUAGAUUUGAAUGAGGAGGAGUUUUUAGCUUUAACUUCUUUAGUAGGAUGUGUUAGGUUCAAGCGGCAUUUAACAUACUUGGGAGUCCCAUUGGGUUGUAACCAUAGGUCAAAUGUUCUUUUGGAAUCCAAUAUUACCUAAGAUUGAAAAUAGUUGGAUACUUGGAAAGGAGCUUCCUUUCCUUUAGAAAAUGAGCUACUUUCAUUUAAGCUUUGAUAAUGUGGUAUUCCUCUAUGCUAUAUGUCCUUGUUUAAUACUUCAAUACAAGUGGUGGAAAAUACUGACAAGGCACCAAGAUAUUUUCUUUGGUCUAGGGGCAGCAAUCUAAUUUGAUCAGCUGGAAGCAAUUUUUUACACAUCUCACUAGGGUUAGGUCAUAGAAAUUUGGCGUCUAAGAAUUAUCGCCCUUACAGAUAAAUGGUUCUGGUUCAUAUCCUAAGUAUUCUCCUUUAGCUUUUAUUUACGUACACUGUUGUGAUGAAACUUAUACGUGUUUGUCAAAAGAUACUAUGCAUAUUCAAUAUUCUUUUGCCCAUCUCUUUCCUCAUCUUUAUAGAACUCCUUUGCAUACUCUUUUUUAAUGAUAUGGAACCCUAUAUCAUCUUUGCUGCUUGCUUUUUUGGAGGGAAAAUGUCACCAACAGUGCUUCAACUUCACUUCACGAAAAAUCAAAGUGAAACUGAACUUUUGCGAUAAAACAGCGGAUGAAACAAGUGAACAGAAGUCACUCACCCAAGUGCUAAGGCGCCUGACCACUGAAGCAAGAAGCCUAGAAAAGCUGAUCCAAGAAUUAGCAAUGUGUUGAUGGUAUUCCAAUGAUAGGUGAACACACCUGGAGGAUCCAAGAAAGGAAUCAAAGAAGCCAGAAAAACCAAAGUAAUUGGGGUUGUCUUCCACAUUAACGCCAGCGCUGUCCAGUUCUCUCGCUGUUGCAGAGUGGACCAAAGGAUCUUGUUUAUUGCACUGGGAAUUAUCCACGCCAAUGCUACACAUGCACCAAAAAGGCUGAAUUGCAAAUCAGUUACUGUAGCCACAGCAACACCAACUGACACAACUGUAAGUGCUACCACCUGAAAGAUUUCAUAGCAGGGGUGUUAGGGAUAUGGGAUAUUCUGGUGGAGGAUUCUGAAUUUGUUAGUACUCCAGCUAAAAUCCCAGCAACAGUGGAUAAUGGGCUGAGACGCUUGAGAGUAUACUCUAGAAGAAUUAAACAAAAGCUUCCAGAAGUAGGAGAUAAUGUCCCUGAAUAACACAGCUGGAGGACAAUGGCAUGUAUUCUGUAAGGUGUUAGCAAGCAAUGAGGAGGGUAAUUCUCAUGGGAGAGAGUAGCAGCAGGGCAGGCUAUAAAUAUGAGUUCAUUGGAGCAGCAGGGGAGGAGAAAAUUUUGUUAAUUGUCAGCUACAAACUAGGGCUAGUUUUCUAGCACGGGAUUGAUUCCCUGGGGCUGUUGCAGCCAUUUAAUUCUUCUUUCUUAUAUUUUCUGUAUUGGUUUGCUAUUUGGAUAGUAGAGAGAAGAAGAGAUAUCUUUGUAAUUGGGUAUCAACAAUUGUAAUAGGCAAUUUGCCAUUUUCAAUCAAAUACACAUUCCAUUCUCUAGUUUCUUUCUGUCAAUUUACACACCUCAGUGUUCCUAACUCUAUCAAGGGGUUCCAUAGGACAGUUUAGCAUAAGCUAAUAUGGACAAGUAGUCACUCCACAUCCAAAGAAAAUCUCAUUAUACAAGUCGCAUUUGCAAGGAACCUUAAAGCAUCUAUUUUCAUCAACAUUUUUAUGCACCCAAGACCCAACCAAACAUGUUGUCUAUGGAUUAGUGAAGGACCAAGACUAUAGAAUAAUCAGAAUCUUCAAGAUAACCAAUAGAAUUAGAUGAACUCCAACAGGUAACUUAAUGGCAACAGGAGAUAACCCACACCUAAAAUACAGAACUAAGGUGACACCCUCCAACAAGGUAAACAUGACCACUGAUAUAGAAACCCUUGCUGCUCAAAUCCACCACAAGACAAGCAUUAGCAUCACACAAGUAUAUGGACCCAAAAUUUACUGUCAGUAGGUCUAUUUCCAAAGCAAAAGUUUUACCCCUUAAUAAGGAUUAGAUAAACCCAAAAGGAUUAAAAGUUCAAGAUAAACUCAACUCAACUAGGCCUCACUCCAACCUAGUUUGCUAGCUCUAAGAAUCCUUUUCUUCCAUUCUACUUCUACUUCGUUUAGGGAUAAACAAAGGUCUAAAAAUGCCAAAUCUUUAAUGGCAUAAUUAGAUAAUAGAUAUCAUCCUUCAGUUACCUCUCAUCUUAUUCACUACUGUAACUUGGAUAUGCUUAAUCUUUUGUAUCCACAAAUCUUUGGUCUACAUCCAACCAGUAAGUUUAGGAUUCCAUUUUCAUUAAAGUCCAGUGAUUCUAAACCCUUGUUGACCACUUCAAAACUUAUAUUCUUGGUCUUCCUGUCUGCUCCAAGAACUUGGAUAUACUCAAUCAUUCAUAUGAGUACAUUUACAUCUGUGAGUCAAUUUUGGACAAUCAGCAUUGACAAAUCAUCCAAAAAAUCUUCAAUGGGUUUCAUUUGGUGAAGUCGAUUUACUAGAAGUCCACAUUUGAGGAAAGCUAUGCAUACGUUUGUGAUUGAUUAAUGAAAACUGAUACAUUUCUUGACUCAAUCAAAUAGUCAGAAUAUCUUGUUAAUCAUGCUGUUGCAUUGUCAUAACUAUCAUACUUGUAAAGCAAUCUUGCAAUAAUAAAUCAUUCCAUGUGUAUUUUGAAUUAACAAAUAGGAACCAAAACUUACCUUGGAGAAAGAAACACGCUUUCUAAACCAUAUAAAUUCCAGCAAAACAAUUGAGGGCGUAACAGCAAUCUUAGCCAUCUGGUAGAAACCCACACUGUUGUACUUUAAGCUGACAUUAGCUAGGCCAGUAGACAGAGACAUAACAAAGCCAAGAGUAAACAAGGAUAAAUGACUCGAUUUUGAAGGAGGGGAUGCAGGAAGAAUAGAAAGGGCUUUUAAAAUGGCCAUCAGAGCCCAGCUUAUUGAGUAGUGAAUAAAACUGAGGCAUAUGGGGAAGUGGAAUCCAACUCCUUGAAGCACCCAUUUGUUCAUGAAAAUAAUGCUAAUAGCAACGACGAAAUUGAAAGAAAGAGCAACAACAGGAUGGCAUAAACGUUGCUCAUGUCGCUUUGCACUUUCAUAGGAACGAAAUUUGUUGAACAAAGAGGCACGCAAUUCUUCCAAUGCUCUUCCUCUUUCUCCUGCAUCACUGUCUUUGCGUUUAAGUAUCUUUCUCGCAUCUUUCCUCACCAAGAAAUUCAAAAUCUCACGACUAAAAACCAUCUCUCUCUCACUCUUGCACUCACACCUUCACUCUAUGAAAUUUUUACUCGAACCGAUGGCAAGUCCUUGGGCUUAAAAUUUUCAAAAAACAGUCACACGUGGAAUUAAAACAGCGUUGAUAGCGGAACUUUAAAGCUGUCUGUGUCGGGGAGAGGCAGAGAAUGAGAUGAGUGUAUAUCACGCCGUCACUCUACUCAAACUCACCGACCAAAACAGGUCAAGUGCGUGACUGAGAGUGCGAGUGAAAUUUGUCUUGCCCUUUGUCGGCAUU
rnacentral:misc_RNA from 1 species